AUGAUGAAUGUGGAGGGUUCUGAGCUGAUUUUUGAAAAUGUAAUGCCCUCUGAUGGCGGCUUGUACUCCUGCAUAGCCAGCAAUACGGCAGGAACAACCACUGAGGACUUCCAGCUGAUAACCUGGCCUGGGACACCCGAUAAGGUCAGUGUGGCUCCGGGGCCCUCAUCUUCUCUCCUCAUCCAGAGUACCCCAGUGCAAGAUGGAGGGUCCUCCAUUACUGAAUACAUCCUUCAGUGGAAGAAACCGUCUGAAGACACCUGGAGACAAAGCGCUGUCAAGCCCACAAGUCUCCUGGAGAUCAUGGGCCUUGAGCCGUACACAGAGUACUUCAUUCGUUUUGCAGCCAAAAACUCUCACUACCAGGGGAACUUCUCCACAGAACACAAGAUCUUCACACAGUCCCAACAUUAGUAUCAGAGGAGUUCUCUUCUGUCUAAUCACUUCAUCUGCUUCAUAUCCACUUUUUUUUGAUGUUGAUAGCCAUUAUUAAUAUUGUUAUAGCUUUAUAUACCAUUGGCAGGCCACAUGGAAUCUGUACCCAAUUUAGCAUGCAGCUUUCUUGAUUUUUUUUCUUUUUUUUCCUUAGAUUAAAUCAGUUGAGAGGCUAUGCAUUAUUUGUACUUUCUAAAACAUAAAAAUUAAUUUGUCACACCAUUUGUACCAUUAGGACCAUACAAUAUCUGUAUCUGUGUCUACAUAUGUAUCUGUCUGCAGUUUUGGCCUGGCCAUUGAUUUAUAGGUCCAACUAUUAUUUUUUUUUGUGCUGUAAAAUGAAAAAAUUAAAUAAAAAUAAAUAAAUAAAUAAAUAAAAGUUCUUG
ensembl:lncRNA